rnacentral:rRNA from 1 species
AUUGAACGCUGGCGGCAUGCCUUACACAUGCAAGUCGAGCGGCAGCACGGGGGCAACCCUGGUGGCGAGUGGCGAACGGGUGAGUAAUGCAUCGGAACGUGCCCAGUAGUGGGGGAUAACCCGGCGAAAGCCGGGCUAAUACCGCAUACGACCUAUGGGUGAAAGCGGGGGACCGUAAGGCCUCGCGCUAUUGGAGCGGCCGAUGUCUGAUUAGCUAGUUGGCGGGGUAAAGGCCCACCAAGGCGACGAUCAGUAGCUGGUCUGAGAGGACGACCAGCCACACUGGGACUGGGACACGGCCCAGACUCCUACGGGAGGCAGCAGUGGGGAAUUUUGGGCAAUGGGCGCAAGCCUGAUCCAGCCAUGCCGCGUGCGGGAAGAAGGCCUUCGGGUUGUAAACCGCUUUUGGCAGGAACGAAACGGCGCAAGCUAAUACCUUGCGCUAAUGACGGUACCUGCAGAAUAAGCACCGGCUAACUACGUGCCAGCAGCCGCGGUAACAC